rnacentral:rRNA from 1 species
GAUGAACGCUGGCGGCGUGCCUAAUACAUGCAAGUCGAGCGAACAGACGAGGAGCUUGCUCCUCUGACGUUAGCGGCGGACGGGUGAGUAACACGUGGAUAACCUACCUAUAAGACUGGGAUAACUUCGGGAAACCGGAGCUAAUACCGGAUAAUAUAUUGAACCGCAUGGUUCAAUAGUGAAAGACGGUUUUGCUGUCACUUAUAGAUGGAUCCGCGCCGCAUUAGCUAGUUGGUAAGGUAACGGCUUACCAAGGCGACGAUGCGUAGCCGACCUGAGAGGGUGAUCGGCCACACUGGAACUGAGACACGGUCCAGACUCCUACGGGAGGCAGCAGUAGGGAAUCUUCCGCAAUGGGCGAAAGCCUGACGGAGCAACGCCGCGUGGGUGAUGAAGGUCUUCGGAUCGUAAAACUCUGUUAUUAGGGAAGAACAAAUGUGUAAGUAACUAUGCACGUCUUGACGGUACCUAAUCAGAAAGCCACGGCUAACUACGUG